rnacentral:rRNA from 1 species
UACGUAGGGGGGCUAGCGUUGUCCGGAAUCAUUGGGCGUAAAGAGCGUGUAGGCGGCCCGGUAAGUCCGCUGUGAAAGUCGGGGGGCUCAACCCUCGAAUGCCGGCGGAUACUGUCGGGCUAGAGUCCGGAAGAGGCGAGUGGAAUUCCUGGUGUAGCGGUGAAAUGCGCAGAUAUCUGGAGGAACACCGGUGGCGAAGGCGGCAUCCUGGACCGAGAUUGACGCUGAACGGCGAAAGCUAGGGGAGCAAACGGG